GGAGAUGAUGGGGUGGGGUGGGGGAUUGACAGCUGUGGCUCUCUUUGAGAUCAUCAAAGUGGAUUUUGUUGAGAUCAUCAAAAUGGAUUUUGUUGAUGUUUGGCACAACUCUGUAAGUAAAUUAUUGUUAAACCUCCAUUUGUUUCCUAUUACUGCCUUGAGAGUGAUGAAAGUUAUUUAUUAAAUGACCUUGUACUGAAUACCCACUCUGUGUCAGAACUUGUACCAGAUACUGGAGACUGGAGAUGCAAAGUGAGAAAGGCUUAGUUUCGCACUCAGAAAAGUUCCACAUCUCGUGGGGAAAUAAUUACAGUAGGUAACAUGACCUGUUCACAUCUCAACAGCCUCAAAUUUUUAUUGUUUUAGCAAUAUAGUAGAUAGUAAGGAGUGAAACGAUAUAAAUCAGAUGGAAAGGGAAUUGGUAUGGACUGAAUUGUUUCUCCCUUCAAAAUUCGUAUAUUGAAGCCCCAGUCUCCAAUGUGACUGUAUUUAUGGAUAAGGCCU
rnacentral:lncRNA from 1 species